rnacentral:lncRNA from 1 species
AGCGGGGCCGCGGCGUGGAGAGCGGGCGGGAGCCGCAGCCGCAGCGAGGCCGGCGGGCGGGAGCGCACGGAGGUGGGGUCGGCCAGGCCGGUGCGGGCUCCUUGCGGCAGGUCCCAAGAGGGUUCGGUCCGAGCCCGGUGGGAGGCUCCCGGAGCGCAGCCUGGGCCCAGCCCACCCCGCGCCGGCGGCCAUGGCAGGCACCCUGGACCUGGACAAGGGCUGCACGGUGGAGGAGCUGCUCCGCGGGUGCAUCGAAGCCUUCGGUGAGUGGCUCGGGAGGGCACACGGAGCCUGAGCCUAGCCCCGAGUCUGAGCCCGGGUCCCUGCCUCCCAGGCACAGUCCAGGGCACAGCCCUGACCCGGACCCACCCUGCUCCGCAGCGUGCAGUCUCUUUAACGAAAGCCUCCUCCGCAACGCAGGGCAGAGAGAUGCACGCCCUUCAGACAGAUGAGGUUUCCCUUCUCUAGCCUUCCCCAGCGGCGGCGAAGGGAGGGCCGGGUCCCGGACUCUGACACUUGAGGGGCAUUAUCUGUCUCCCGGGGAAU